CUGGCUCAGGAUGAACGCUGGCGGCGUGCCUAACACAUGCAAGUCGAACGGGGUAAGAGAAAUUUCGGAUGGAACUUAACUUAGUGGCGGACGGGUGAGUAACGCGUGGAUAACCUGCCUCACACUGGGGGAUAGCAGCUGGAAACGGCUGGUAAUACCGCAUAAGACCACGGCACCGCAUGGUGCAGGGGUAAAAGAUUUAUCGGUGUGAGGUGGAUCCGCGUCUGAUUAGCCAGUUGGCGGGGUAACGCCCACCAAAGCGACGAUCAGUAGCCGGCCUGAGAGGGUGAACGGCCACAUUGGGACUGAGACACGGCCCAAACUCCUACGGGAGGCAGCAGUGGGGAAUAUUGCACAAUGGGCGCAAGCCUGAUGCAGCAACGCCGCGUGAGUGAAGAAGUAUUUCGGUAUGUAAAGCUCUAUCGGCAGGGAAGAAAGGCCCGAAAGGGAGAUGACGGUACCUGACUAAGAAGCCCCGGCUAACUACGUGCCAGCAGCAGC
rnacentral:rRNA from 1 species